ACGGCUCAGUAACACGUAGACAACUUACCCAAGAGUCCGGGAUAACCCCGGGAAACUGGGGAUAAUACCGGAUAGAUCAUCUGUGCUGGAAGGCUGGGUGGUUGAAACUUCCGGGGCUUUUGGAUGGGUCUGCGGCUGAUUAGGUUGUUGCCGGUGUAACGUACCGUCAAGCCUGUAAUCAGUACGGGUUGUGGGAGCAAGAGCCCGGAGAUGGAUUCUGAGACACGAAUCCAGGCCCUACGGGGCGCAGCAGGCGCGAAAACUCUACAAUGCAGGCAACUGCGAUAGGGGAACAUCGAGUGAUCCUCAUAUUGGGGGUCUGUCCACCCGUCUAAAAAACGGGUGUUAGCAAGGGCCGGGCAAGACCGGUGCCAGCCGCCGCGGUAAUACCGGCGGCUCGAGUGGUGGCCGAUAUUAUUGAGUCUAAAGGGUCCGUAGCCGGCUUUGCAAGUCUCUCGGGAAAUCCAGCGGCUUAACCGUUGGUCGUCCGGGGGGUACUACAUUGCUUGGGACUGGGAGAGGUAGGAGGUACUCAGGGGGUAGGAGUGAAGUCCGUUGAUCCAUUGAAGACCACCAGUGGCGAAGGCGGCUUGCCAGAACGCGCUCGACGGUGAGGGAUGAAAGCUGGGGGAGCAAACCGGAUUAGAUACCCGGGUAGUCCCAGCUGUAAACGAUGCAGACUCGGUGAUGAACAGGCUUCGUGCCUGUUCAGUGCCGCAGGGAAGCCGUUAAGUCUGCCGCCUGGGGAGUACGGUCGCAAGACUGAAACUUAAAGGAAUUGGCGGGGGAG
rnacentral:rRNA from 1 species